rnacentral:pre_miRNA from 1 species
AGCUUUCUGAACCCGUGCGGAAAUUUCAUAAGACACUAACCCAUUAGGGCUGAUCAGACUUCCAAGAUAAGUGAAGUU